rnacentral:rRNA from 1 species
GCUUACGGCCAUACCACCCUGAGAACGCCCGAUCUCGUAAGCUAAGCAGGUUCGGGCCUGGUUAGUACUUGGAUGGGAGACCGCCUGGGAAUACCCGGUGCUGUAAGCU